rnacentral:rRNA from 1 species
ACAGAGGGUGCGAGCGUUAAUCGGAUUUACUGGGCGUAAAGCGCGCGUAGGUGGUUAAUUAAGUCAAAUGUGAAAUCCCCGAGCUUAACUUGGGAAUUGCAUUCGAUACUGGUUAGCUAGAGUAUGGGAGAGGAUGGUAGAAUUCCAGGUGUAGCGGUGAAAUGCGUAGAGAUCUGGAGGAAUACCGAUGGCGAAGGCAGCCAUCUGGCCUAAUACUGACACUGAGGUGCGAAAGCAUGGGGAGCAAACAG